rnacentral:lncRNA from 1 species
CGUCGUUAUAGAGUUCCAAUAUAUCAUCCAAUUUUUUAAAGUAUUAUUAAAUUUUUUAUCAGAUAUUUUUUCGAUGGGUCUUUGGUAAUUUUAGUCAUAAAUUGUAACUCAUAGCAAUACAAAAAAAGGUCCGCAAUAAGUAUUGCACAGCUAGUCCCCUUUGGAAUUCCGAUUACUUGACGAUAUACGGAAUCUCCAAAGCGAACACAAUUGUUAUCUAGUAAAAUUCAAGGGCAGAUAUAGUAUCAAAGCAUGUCCAAUUGACAUAGUUCUUUUGUUUAUUGCUAUUAAAAAAU